rnacentral:rRNA from 1 species
CGGCGGAGCAUGUUGCUUAAUUCGACGCAACGCGAAGAACCUUACCAAGGUUUGACAUCGCCCGGAAACCCUCAGAGAUGGGCUCUGGUACAGGCGUGACGAGCGCAACCCUUGUUCCAUGUUGCCAGCGCUCGGGACGUCAAGUAUCAUGCCCCUUAUGUCUUGGCUGCAUACAUGGCCGGUACAUGGGUUGCGAUGCCGUAAGGCGGGGCGUCCCUAAAAGCCGGUCUCAGUUCGGAUUGGGGUGCAACUCGACCCCAUGAAGUCGGAGUCGCUAGUAAUCGAGAUCAGCAACGCUGCGGUGAAUACGUUCCCGGGCCUUGUACACACCGCCGUCACGUCAUGAAAGUCGGCAACACCCGAAGCCCGUGGCCCAACCCACUUGUGGGGGGGAGCGGUCGAAGUGGGGCUGGCGAUUGGGACGAAGUCGUACAAGGU